GAUGAAGAACGCAGCGAAAUGCGAUAAGUAGUGUGAAUUGCAGAAUUCAGUGAAUCAUCGAAUCUUUGAACGCACAUUGCGCCCCUUGGUAUUCCAUGGGGCAUGCCUGUUCGAGCGUCAUUUGUACCUUCAAGCUCUGCUUGGUGUUGGGUGUUUGUCUCGCCUUGCGCGUAGACUCGCCUUAAAACAAUUGGCAGCCGGCGUAUUGAUUUCGGAGCGCAGUACAUCUCGCGCUUUGCACUCAUAACGACGACGUCCACAAGUACUUUUUACACUCUUGACCUCGGAUCAGGUAGGGAUACCCGCUGAACUUAAGCAUAUCAAUAAGCGGAGGA
rnacentral:misc_RNA from 1 species